rnacentral:misc_RNA from 1 species
GAUGAAGAACGUAGCGAAAUGCGAUAAGUAAUGUGAAUUGCAGAAUUCAGUGAACCAUCGAAUCUUUGAACGCACAUUGCGCCCGCCAGUAUUCUGGCGGGCAUGCCUGUCCGAGCGUCAUCUCAACCCUCGAGCCCCCCCGGGGGCUCGGCGUUGGGGACCGGCCCCGCCCCAGGGCGCGCCGCCCCCCAAAUACAGUGGCGGUCCCGCCGCAGCCUCCCCUGCGCAGUAGCUUGCACACUCGCACCGGAGAGCGGCGCGGCCACGCCGUAAAACCCCCCGACCACGGAGCCCCGGCUCCUGAACGUUGACCUCGGAUCAGGUAGGAAUACCCGCUGAACUUAAGCAUAUCAAAAGCGGAGGA